CUCCUAGGCCUUCCAAACACUUUCAUUUCCAAUCAAAAUACCUCAUACCCAUAAUUAAGCUCUACUCCACAAUCAUUGUGUAAUUAUAAACAAGCCAAGCCAACAUUCUUUAAUCUUAAUCCCAAACUAAAUAACCAAAGUACAUACUACAGAACUAUACCUGUUAUAUAUUAAUAUAACUUACAUAGAACAACCAGUACAUCUAUAGCAUUCCAUAGCAUGCUCCAAGUUGUGUACUGUUGUAUAUUUCUCUUUUUGUAGCAUUUUUUUUUUCUUUUUCCCUCCAAUACCUGUUAAAUAUCAUUUUUCUUUAUUUAAUUUUGAUUGAAAUUUGAAUAUGAAACUUAACAAUCUAAUAUCACCUCAUCUUUAAUUUCUAAAUAUGUGUUUUUCCCGUUUAUAUAUUUAACCUACUUUCUUUUUUCUUUGUGCACCAUAUUCUUUGGUAUUGAGUGCAUCAAAAACUGCAUUUGCGUCCGUAGAAACCAUGAUUUCAGAGGCGGACCAUAACCGUGCAGCUUCUGUUGAGCUGGAUCCCAGUUUCGACGUUGAAGCUUCGUUACAAUCGGCAAAAUACUUUCCAGACACAUUCAACAGUCUCGGAUGAGUUGCUACGAAACAAGUUGUUGCAGCAGCCUGAGGAAUUGUCUUCAAGAGCUUGGACGCCAUGAAAAACACCAUAUCUUUUCCCCCCAACUUAAAUCCCAAAUAGGCUUUAGAGGAACUUGUUUGAGACCUGUGACUAGGCCUUCUCGUUCUCGGGUGAGUCUGGUUCUCACUAUUCCUGGAUGGAUACAAUUGACAGUCACGUCGGCUUGCAUUUGCUUCAAUCUCUGAGCAAGCUCCUUGGUGUGCAAAACGUUAGCCAGCUUCGAGAGAGCGUAAGCACGUGUGGCAUCGUAACGACCGGGGAGAAAGAAGAAGAAGAAGAAGAUAAAAAAUUCAGAAGAAAAAGGUCAAACCAAAAGAUGCACAUAUGUACUGCGAAAUAAUGAUUUGGUCACUCACCCUUUAUUUCCGGAUAUUUCCGCGAGAUAUUGGAUCAUAUCUCCGGAGAACCAGCCGUGAAUAGUUGAUGAAACGUUCACGAUUCUGCCUUGGAUGCCGGAUUCUUUUGCAGUUUCGAUCAUCUUCCUCAACAACAAUUUCGUUAACAGAAAAUGACCAAGAUAAUUAGUGGCAAAGGUCAUUUCUAUUCCAUCUUCCGAUAUUGCAUGUUCGUCUGCGAACUUGCCAGCAUUAUUUAUGAGGAGAUUGAGGGGCAAAUUGAGAGACUCGAACUCUGCAACGAAGUUUCGAACAGAGUUGAGAGAGCUAAGAUCAAUUGCCAUAACAAUGAUUUCAGAAUCGGGACACUCGGAAACCAUACGCGCCUUUGUAUCCUCGGCCGCUUUCAUGUUGCGAACCGGGAGUACCAGUCUCGCUCCUUGUUUCGCCAACACUCUCGCUGUCUCGGCUCCUAUUCCUGAAGUGGCGCCGGUGAUGAUGGCAGUGAUGGAACGCAGAUCGCAGCUAGCAGUGACUUGAUCGGCUGUGGACUUAGAGCCGAAACCAGUGGGGCCGGCUGAGCCGAUGAGGUAGCUGACAGUUUCCAGCAUUUCUCUCCUCUUUUGACUGGUUUCGUUUGUGCAACUAACAGAUGUAGUAGUACUAUUGCAUGGACAAGCAAUAUGGAAUCAAAUCAAGCAACAAAGCAGUACGUCUUGAGCAGAGUGGCGUUAGUGCUGUGUCGGGGAAGCAGCGAAAAAAGGCGUUGUUUUUUGUCAGAGAUUUCGCAGCCAACGCCGCUUUGCAUUUAGCUCACGGAGAGAAAGAGAAAGGAGAGGGCUAACGGAAAAGGAAAGAGCGGGAUGGCGAUUUUAUAAAGAG
rnacentral:misc_RNA from 1 species